rnacentral:rRNA from 1 species
GACGAACGCUGGCGGCGUGCCUAAUACAUGCAAGUCGAGCGAUGAUUAAAGAUAGCUUGCUAUUUUUAUGAAGAGCGGCGAACGGGUGAGUAACGCGUGGGAAAUCUGCCGAGUAGCGGGGGACAACGUUUGGAAACGAACGCUAAUACCGCAUAACAAUGAGAAUCGCAUGAUUCUUAUUUGAAAGAAGCAAUUGCUUCACUACUUGAUGAUCCCGCGUUGUAUUAGCUAGUUGGUAGUGUAAAGGACUACCAAGGCGAUGAUACAUAGCCGACCUGAGAGGGUGAUCGGCCACACGUGGACUGAGACACGGCCCAGACUCCUACGGGAGGCAGCAGUAGGGAAUCUUCGGCAAUGGGGGCAACCCUGACCGAGCAACGCCGCGUGAGUGAAGAAGGUUUUCGGAUCGUAAAACUCUGUUGUUAGAGAAGAACGUUAAGUAGAGUGGAAAAUUACUUAAGUGACGGUAUCUAACCAGAAAGGGACGGCUAACUACGUGCCAGCCGCCGCAGUAA